rnacentral:rRNA from 1 species
CUGCUGCCUCCCGUAGGAGUCUGGGCCGUGUCUCAGUCCCAAUGUGGCCGUCCACCCUCUCAGGCCGGCUACUGAUCGUCGCCUUGGUGUGCUUUUACCACUCCAACUAGCUAAUCAGACGCGGGUCCAUCUCAUACCAGAUUUCUCCUUUUCACACUAAAACAUGCGUUUCCGUGCGCUUAUGCGGUUUUACCACCAGUUUCCCGAUGCUAUCCCCCUGUAUGAGGCAGGUUGCCCACGCGUUACUCACCCGUCCG